rnacentral:rRNA from 1 species
GAUGAACGCUGGCGGCGUGCCUAAUACAUGCAAGUCGAGCGAACAGACGAGGAGCUUGCUCCUCUGACGUUAGCGGCGGACGGGUGAGUAACACGUGGAUAACCUCCCUAUAAGACUGGGAUAACUUCGGGAAACCGGAGCUAAUACCGGAUAAUAUAUUGAACCGCAUGGUUCAAUAGUGAAAGACGGUUUUGCUGUCACUUAUAGAUGGAUCCGCGCUGCAUUAGCUAGUUGGUAAGGUCACGGCUUACCAAGGCAACGAUGCGUAGCCGACCUGAGAGGGUGAUCGGCCACACUGGAACUGAGACACGGUCCAGACUCCUACGGGAGGCAGCAGUAGGGAAUCUUCCGCAAUGGGCGAAAGCCUGACGGAGCAACGCCGCGUGAGUGAUGAAGGUCUUCGGAUCGUAAAACUCUGUUAUUAGGGAAGAACAAAUGUGUAAGUAACUAUGCACGUCUUGACGGUACCUAAUCAGAAAGCCACGGCUAACUACGUG